GAACAGGGGAGCUUGUACAAGCAGGCUGAGAGGAAGUAAUCAACUUCGACCCUUAUACCUGAUUUGGAUAAUGCCAACGUAGGAACGAACGUAU
rnacentral:ncRNA from 1 species